CGAGUUCACUCACGCGCACCCUUAUCUCACCACGUCAGCAAGAUUCUAACGGCCUCUGACAAAAUAAGAAGGUUCCUUCCGAAUUUUUCACGUGCCUUUUAACUCUUGAGCGAUUUGUUGGAUGGAUGGGAGCCGUGGAUGGAUGGAAUCAAUCUAUGCCCUCCAUCUGUCCCUAAAUCGUUCACAGAAGAUUUGAGAGGAUUUCUAGAUUUUUAGAAGAAGGUUCGAGAUUUUUGAGGGGUUAUAUAAGGUAAGGAUUUUCUUGUUUAGGGGGGGGGGGGCUGAAAAAACAGAGAAUUUUGAGGAAUUUUUCGGGCAGAUUUAAUUUGAUAGAAAAAUUAGGGUUCUAGGAAAUGUUUUCUUCUGCUCUGUUGUUCAUCUUCGUUUUUUAGUUUAAUUCCAGACAUAACAAAAAAAAACUACAAAUAUUGGCUUCUUUUAGUUUGAUAUUCGAUCUUUGUUUUUUUCAUCUUUAAAUUCGGAAAGUUCACUUUUAUUAUGGAGUUGGAUUGAGUUCGAGAGUCGAAGUUGUUCGAAUCGUCGAUUGCUUGCCGAUCGAGGUUUUGUUCGUGGUUGCUAGUUUCUAUUUCUCAGCUGUUGUCACUCCCAAUUUCAAGGCC
rnacentral:lncRNA from 1 species